CCCUCCUCCAUGUCCGAAACCCUAGCUCCCCAAACCUUGAUUUCCUCCACUUUUAUCAACAAAUCCAACAUGAAUCUUGCAUCAAGGAUGGAGAACAAGAGAAGAUUAACAUUUUCUACCGAUUGGAUUUCGAAAUUUUGGAGGAAUCUCAUUAAGCUUGCUCCCUUGUUUGAUUCUUGAGGGCACACUUCAGGAGGGACAAGCACUCCGUUGUAGCACUGUGAGUAGUAGUACUAUAGUGUUGGCCAUAUAUGUAAAGUAUUCAUGACAUCCGUAGCACACGACCCUUACCCGGGGGUAAUAAUACCGUGUUUUCAAGUAUGUUACAAGUUCAAGUAUGUUUUCAAGUAUGUUACAAGUUCAAGUAUGUUUUCAGGUAAUCACUUUGGGAGUCCGUCUUAACCUUUAAUGCUCACCCUUCAGUUGUCAACCUCAGUAUGCCCAGGCUCCUAAACCAAGCUCAUGCAUUUAUGUGAAGUUUUGUUAAAAAUUUUAGUUUGCACUUUAAUUAUUUAUUUAAGGUGAAGAUGUAUGUAUGUAACCCCUUUCUUUACCAAUGCUCGGUUAUACGCUCAAUUAUGUAUAUGGGUAUGUAUUUAGAUAUAAAGCUCUCACGUAUGUGAUCCUGGCAUGUUAGUUUUAGCUCAGUGGAUGUUAUUCUAUGUUAUUU